UACAGAGGUCUCGAGCGUUAGGCGGAAUCACUGGGCUUAAAGCGUGUGUAGGCGGAUCGUUAAGUACCUUGUGAAAUCCCACGGCUUAACCGUGGAACUGCUGGGUAUACUGGCGGUCUUGAGCAACCUAAGGGCGAGCGGAACAGACGGUGGAGCGGUGAAAUGCGUAGAUAUCAGGAGGAACACCGGUGGCGAAGGCGGCUACCUGGACAGAAACUGACGCUGAGGCGCGAAAGCUAGGGGAGCAAACAGG
rnacentral:rRNA from 1 species